CCUACGGGAGGCAGCAGUGGGGAAUAUUGCACAAUGGGGGAAACCCUGAUGCCGCCACGCCGCGUGAGUGAAGAAGUAUUUCGGUAUGUAAAGCUCUAUCAGCAGGGAAGAAAAUGACAGUACCUGACUAAGAAGCCCCGGCUAACUACGGGCCAGCAGCCGCGGUACUACGUAGGGGGCAAGCAUUAUCCGGAUUUACUGGUUGUAAAGGGAGCGUAGACGGCUGCGCAAGUCAGAAGUGAAUGCCCGGGGCUCAACCGCGGGACUGCUUUUGAAACUGCGAGGCUGGAGUGCUGGAGAGGUAAGCGGAAUUCCUGGUGUAGCGGUGAAAUGCGUAGAUAUCAGGAGGAACACCGGUGGCGAAGGCGGCUUACUGGACAGUGACUGACGUUGAGGCUCGAAAGCGUGGGGAGCGAACAGGAUUAGAUACCCUUGUAGUC
rnacentral:rRNA from 1 species